rnacentral:rRNA from 1 species
GAUUUUUUAAAUUGCUGUGGUAUUUUGACUAUACAAAGGUAUUGAAAUAAGAUUUUAAUUGAAUGCUAAGAGAAUGGAAUUUCAGAAAAAAACUUUUUUCAAGUUAAAAAUUGAAAUUUUUUUAAUUUGUGCAGAAACAAUUAUUAAUAUUAAGGACAAGAAGACCCUAUGAAUUUAUAAAUUUUAUUUAAUAUGUAACUACUAUUAAAAAAAUUUUGGCUGGGGCGGCGGAAAAAUAUUUAAAACUUUUUUAAAAUAAAAUGACCCAUUAUUAAUGAUUAUAUGUUAAAUACUCUAGGGAUAACAGCGUAAA